rnacentral:rRNA from 1 species
UACGAAGGGUGCAAGCGUUACUCGGAAUUACUGGGCGUAAAGCGUGCGUAGGUGGUUUGUUAAGUCUGUUGUGAAAGCCCCGGGCUCAACCUGGGAAUGGCAAUGGAUACUGGCAGGCUAGAGUGCGGUAGAGGGUAGUGGAAUUCCCGGUGUAGCGGUGAAAUGCGUAGAGAUCGGGAGGAACACCAGUGGCGAAGGCGGCUACCUGGACCAGCACUGACACUGAGGCACGAAAGCGUGGGGAGCAAA